GAGAACAAUUCGGAGGAAGAAUCAAGGAGAAACAAAAUUGUACUCCAGUUGAUUAAUAAAAUUACUUUAUUCUUUUGUGCCUGCAUUUUUUUUUCAUGUGUUGAAAAUUCUUUGCAAAAAAUUUGGCACGUCUAGUGGGACCAAUUCUGCUCUUUAUCUCUUUCUCCUGCAAAUCGAAAAGUACAACUUUCAAGAUCAUCUGUUGUGAUGGUCGAUUACUUCAAGUCUCGUCUUCAAAUUUCGGCGAAGCCUACACUCCGACAAACCUUGAAGUAGGGGGCAUUUAUAGACAACGAAAUUUUAACGGAUCAAGCACGUACGACAUUUAGGCUAAUUCGUAAAUUGGAGGCUACUCCACCAAUACCCAAGCUUGGAGGCUACCUACCCUAACCCUAGGUCACUCCUAUAAAAAAAGCUACAUAUUCCCUUAGAAAAAGGAUCUCAGAAGUGGAGAUCAUCUUGAAUAUCCCAUAAUCUCUUCUUUGGAUACUCACGAAGAGAUCAAUAUGUAGCCAAGAGCUUCUUGAUAAUUAAAUACUUCAAAAAGAAGAUCCACUCAACGCUCGACUUUCUCCGCAUUGUCCCAAGUUCGAGAAAUACAAUGAUUCAGCCCUCGAAUCACGGAGAACAAUUUGGAGGAAGAAUCAAGGGAGAAACAUAAUUGUACUCACAAUUGAUUAAUAAAAUUACUUUAUUCUUUUGUGAUUGCAGUUAUUUUUCGUUUGUCGAAAAUUCGUUGCAAGCAGAAAGAAGAGGUCCUAAUUUCAUGUAAUACUGCCACGAGAUAGAACUAUGUGAAAACGUGUAAAAUAACUGAUAAUUGGUAGCUUAAUUUAAUGGUGUAAAAAAUUAGAUACUGUUAUGUAUAAAACUUCACAACAGAUGUAUAGUAUAAAGUGAUUUGAGAUCCAACUUAAUUUGUAUUUCUAUUAAUUUAAAAUUGUAGGAUAGGGGCUCCUAGAGUUUUUCGUACUCCUCACCCAACCUUGGGUGAGGCUUGGCAGGGCUAUCCAUAGAUGAUUUGUGUUUUGG
rnacentral:lncRNA from 1 species